rnacentral:rRNA from 1 species
GGGGAAUAUUGGACAAUGGGCGAAAGCCUGAUCCAGCAAUGCCGCGUGAGUGAUGAAGGCCUUAGGGUUGUAAAGCUCUUUUACCAGGGAUGAUAAUGACAGUACCUGGAGAAUAAGCUCCGGCUAACUCCGUGCCAGCAGCCGCGGUAAUACGGAGGGAGCUAGCGUUGUGCGGAAUUACUGGGCGUAAAGCGCGCGUAGGCGGUUUAUCAAGUCAGGGGUGAAAUCCCGGGGCUCAACCCCGGAACUGCCCUUGAAACUGGUUCACUAGAAUCCUGGAGAGGCGAGUGGAAUUCCGAGUGUAGAGGUGAAAUUCGUAGAUAGUCGGAAGAACACCAGUGGCGAAGGCGACUCGCUGGACAGGUAUUGACGCUGAGGUGCGAAAGCGUGGGGAGCAAACA